ACGGAAGGCAGCAGUGGGGAAUCUUGGACAAUGGGGGAAACCCUGAUCCAGCGACGCCGCGUGAGUGAAGAAGUAUUUCGGUAUGUAAAGCUCUAUCAGCAAGGAAGAAAAUGACGGUACUUGACUAAGAAGCUCCGGCUAAAUACGUGCCAGCAGCCGCGGUAAUACGUAUGGAGCAAUCGUUAUCCGGAUUUACUGGGUGUAAAGGGAGCGUAGACGGCAAAGCAAGUCUGAAGUGAAAUCCCGGGGCGCAACCCCGGAACUGCUUUGGAAACUGUUUAGCUAGAGUGCAGGAGAGGUAAGCGGAAUUCCUAGUGUAGCGGUGAAAUGCGUAGAUAUUAGGAGGAACACCAGUGGCGAAGGCGGCUUACUGGACUGUAACUGACGUUGAGGCUCGAAAGCGUGGGGAGCAAACAGGAUUAGAUACCCUGGUA
rnacentral:rRNA from 1 species